UUGAUCCUGCCGGACCCGACUGCUAUCAGAGUAGGACUAAGCCAUGCGAGUCAACGCCGCAAGGCGUGGCAUACGGCUCAGUAACACGUAGUCAACAUGCCCAAAGGACGUGGAUAACCUCGGGAAACUGAGGAUAAACCGCGAUAGGCCAAGGUUUCUGGAAUGAUCCCUGGCCGAAAUCUAUAUGGCCUUUGGAUUGGACUGCGGCCGAUCAGGCUGUUGGUGAGGUAAUGGCCCACCAAACCUGUAACCGGUACGGGCUUUGAGAGAAGGAGCCCGGAGAUGGGCACUGAGACAAGGGCCCAGGCCCUAUGGGGCGCAGCAGGCGCGAAACCUCUGCAAUAGGCGAAAGCCUGACAGAGUUACUCAGAGUGAUGCCCGCUAAGGGUAUCUUUUGGCACCUCUAAAAAUGGUGCAGAAUAAGGGGUGGGCAAGUCUGGUGUCAGCCGCCGCGGUAAUACCAGCACCCCGAGUUGUCGGGACGAUUAUUGGGCCUAAAGCAUCCGUAGCCUGUUCCGCAAGUCCUCCGUUAAAUCCACCUGCUCAACGGAUGGGCCGCGGAGGAUACCGCAGAGCUAGGAGGCGGGAGAGGCAAACGGUACUCAGUGGGUAGGGGUAAAAUCCAUUGAUCUACUGAAGACCACCAGUGGCGAAGGCGGUUUGCCAGAACGCGCUCGACGGUGAGGGAUGAAAGCUGGGGGAGCAAACCGGAUUAGAUACC
rnacentral:rRNA from 1 species